AGCUUACUUCCUCCGUUCGGAAUUACUUGUCACAAAAAUGGAUGUAUCUACAACUAAAAUACAUCUAGAUACAUUCAUUUCUUGGACGAGUAAUUCCGAACGGAGGGAGUAGUAC
rnacentral:pre_miRNA from 1 species